GCGUUGAAAAGCUCGGGGAUGACUUGUGGGUAGCGGUGAAAUUCCAAUCGAGCCCGGAGAUAGCUGGUUCUCCCCGAAAUAGCUUUAGGGCUAGCCUCAAGGUGAGAGAUACGGAGGUAGAGCACUGAAUGUCCUAGGGGGUAUUGCACCUACCGAAGACUAUCAAACUCCGAAUGCCGUCAUCUUAUACUUGGGAGUCAGACUGUGGGUGAUAAGAUUCAUAGUCGAAAGGGCAACAGCCCAGAUCGUCAGCUAAGGUCCCUAAAUGUAAGUUAAGUGGUAAAGGAUGUGGGAUUGCACAGACAACCAGGAUGUUGGCUUAGAAGCAGCCACUCAUUCAAAGAGUGCGUAAUAGCUCACUGGUCGAGUGAUCCUGCGCCGAAGAUUUCCGGGGCUAAAACUUACUACCGAAGCUACGGCAUCAGUAAUGAUGGGUAGGGGAGCUUCCCAUACGGGUUGAAGCAUGACCGUAAGGACAUGUGGACAGUAUGGGAGUGAGAAUGUUGGCAUGAGUAGCGAGAUGUGGGUGGGAAUCCCACAGGCCGUAAACCCAAGGUUUCCAGGGGAAGGUUCGUCCGCCCUGGGUUAGUCGGGACCUAAGCUGAGGCCGAACGGCGUAGGUGAUGGACAACAGGUUGAUAUUCCUGUACUACCGAUAACCGUUUGAGAGAAGGGAUGACACAGUAGGAUAAGCUAAGCACACUGUUGGUUAUGUGUGCCCAAGCAUUGAGGCAGUCAAAGUAGGCAAAUCCGCUUUGAUAAUGCUGGGGUGUGAUGGGGAGCGAAAUUUAGUAGCGAAGUAGCUGAUUUCACACUGUCAAGAAAAGUCUCUAUCGAGGUUAAAGGUACCCGUACCGCAAACCGACACAGGUGGGUGAGGAGAGUAUCCUAAGGCCAGCGAGAGAACUGUUGUUAAGGAACUCGGCAAAAUGACCCCGUAACUUAGGGAUAAGGGGUGCCACCAUCAGGUGGCCGCAGAGAAUAGGCCCAAGCGACUGUUUACCAAAAACAUAGGUUUCUGCUAAGUCGCAAGACGAUGUAUAGGAGCUGACGCCUGCCCGGUGCUGGAAGGUUAAGGGGAUCUGUUAGAGCAAUCGAAGCAGUGAACUUAAGCCCCAGUAAACGGCGGCCGUAACUAUAACGGUCCUAAGGUAGCGAAAUUCCUUGUCGGGUAAGUUCCGACCCGCACGAAAGGCGUAACGAUUUGGGCACUGUCUCAACAACAGACUCGGUGAAAUUGUAAUUCCGGUGAAGAUGCCGGAUACCUG
rnacentral:rRNA from 1 species